rnacentral:rRNA from 1 species
GACGAACGCUGGCGGCGUGCCUAAUACAUGCAAGUCGAGCGGACAGACGCGGCUCUUGCUCCUCUGUCGUUAGCCGCAGACGUGUGUAUAACACGUGUAUACCCUACCUAUAUUACGGGUAUAACUUCGGGAAACCGGCUCUAAUACCGUAUAAUAUCUUGCACCGCAGGGUGCAAUAGUGAGAGACGGUUUUGCUGUCACGUAUCGAUGGAUCCGCGCCGCAUUAGAUAGUUGGUAAGGUAACGGCUUACGAAGGCAACGAUGCGUGGACGACCUGACAGGGGGAUCGGCAACCCGGGAGGGGGGACAGGGUCAAGGGUACUACGGGAGGCAGCAGUCGGGAAUCUGACGCAAUAGGCGAAAGCAUGACGGAGCGACGCGGCGUGAGAGAUAAAGGCCUUCGGAUCGGAAAACUCGGUUAUGAGUGAAGAACAAAUGUCUACGUAAACAAGCCCGUAUUGACGGUACUUAAUAAGAAAGCAACGGCUAACUACGUG